rnacentral:lncRNA from 1 species
AACCACAGAUUUAGAUUAGUUGUUGUUUAACCAGCAUUCAGAUAUUGGGGCUCAACUGUGGUAUUUUUUGUGCUGUUUUUGUUAAAGAAUGGCUUUCUCAAAGACCCUACCUUUUAAGUGACAUUCAGAAUCUUUUCUUUUGCAGCCAUUCCGUAGAGUGACGUUUUCAGUUGUGAGUCAGCCUCAGGACCCACAUCAGGGGUCAUUGCAGAGUUGCUAUGACAGCGGUCUGGAGGAGUCAGAAACACCAAGCAGUAAGAGUUCUUCAGGGCCGAGGCUGGGUGCCCUUCCACUCCCAGAGGACAACUACGAAAGGACUACGCCGGAUGGCAGUGUUGGUGAGGCAGAGCAUAUGGAAAAUGAGCCGGAGCAAUGAUGCUAAAUGCUAGAUUGUAAAGGUAAUUGAUGAUGAUCUCCUCCUCUCUGUGAAGUAAAUGAAGUGAAACUGAGGUUUUCACCCUUGUUUCUGGCAGAUUUGUAUAGAUGAUAGGAAUAGGUAAGAAAACAAUUUCCUAUGCAUUUUAAUGUGAUUGCAUCCAUUUUAUUCUUCCUGAAUUCACACACAAACCAAAAUGUAGUUAUGUGUUGUUUUUGUAAUGAAGUUCUUCAAUUAGAAAAUGUGUACAAAAAUUGAGAUACUGUACUAAAGGAGGUAUGCAGAAAUAUACAUAUGCAUAGGGCAAUCAGAUACAAAAUGAAUCAUAGUAAGAAUUUGUUUGCAAAAAAGGAUAUUUCUGACAAAAUAUGUCUGUCAGGAAAAUCUGAAAUCAUAUAUUAGGAGAUGUAAGUGCUAACAGUUUAUAUGAAUUGUUGUAGAGAAUAUAUAUUUGUAGAAACAGAUGUCAAUACAGGAGACAAACUAAAGGUGAGGGGAGAAUGAAAAACUGAGAGAAGCUAAAACUGAAAAAUUGGAAUAGAGAAAAUCAGAAGUCAUAGAAUAAUAAUCAAAUUGAGGCACAGGGUACUGUUUCUUAUUAUGGGGUUCCUUCUUCAUGCUAGCGAUUUGAUUGGUGCCAUUUCUUUGCAAGAUUGUUUGCAUUUCUAAUUAAAAACUACAGGUUGUGUUUUAGUUGCCUGAAGAACUUUGUCCAAGGUUUGAAUCUAUGCAAUCAGAAAUACAAACUUCUGAGUUCAGUGGAGCUUAUUUUCUAAUUACAGUGGUGCCUCACUUUAUGAUUGCCCUGCAUUACGACAAAUCCGCUUAACGACAAUCUUUUUGUGGUCGCAAUUGUGAUCGCAAAAGGAUGUUCUAAAUGGGGGAAUUUCACUUUGUGAUCAUUGGUUCCCUGCUUCGGGAACCGAUUCUUUGCAAAAUGACGUUUUUCUAACAGCUGAUUGGCAGUUUCAAAAUGGCCGCCGUGUAAUUAAAAUGGCUCCCCGCUGUGUUUA